rnacentral:lncRNA from 1 species
GGCAGAAUGAAACGUACCAUAUACAUGUAGACGACAAAUGAAAACUGUCAAAGUAUCCUUCUCUCUAAAAAGCCACAAAUUACGUUCUUUGAAGUAAGUAUUGGGUUUUAUUUCCUAAACUAUACACAUCAAUAUCACCUCCUGAAGCUUUUUACCCAGUUUCACGGUUGGUAUUUCGGACAUGCAAUGUUCCAUGCUGUCAAACUUGGAAUGCCUCGUUUGGAUACAGGGAGACAAAGACUUGGAGACCCAGAAGCCUGAAAGUGGUUCUUGACCGACUUUGUCCACUCAAAUUAAGGCAUCAUGCAGCUGGUCAUCACUUACAUUGCUGGUUGCACGCAGGCACACACACACCAGUGCUCACAGCCAGCACUUGUUAAGAAUGGUUGAGCUGGACCAAAUGGUAUACGUGUCUUUCAUCAAUAUAAACAUGGACUGCAUUCAUCUGGACACGGGCCUUUCCCGCCUACCGAGCCUGCCCACCACCCGAAGUUUAAGCUCAUCUUGGAGGACCUGACACUCAGGAAGCCGUCUCCCGUUGUUCCACCGGCUUUGUGGCCCCAAUGUCUGUAUAAGCUGCUGAUUUGCCUUGGGAAAACAAACCAGCAUCGAUUUCAGAGAAAUUACUGGAUAAUUUGCGCUGUGAGGCGCCUAGAUCGCAAGGCGCACUCCGCAAAUGACAGCCGCUCCCGUGCACUUGUCCAGUCAUUCGGGUGGCAUACUGUCCGGGUGGAAGCCCGCCAAAAUAAUCCAUUUGGAAGGGACGGAGGGCUUCGUCAGAAAUUGCCUUCUUGUAGCUAUGAGACAUUGAGCAAAACAGAUAAGAACUGGGGCAAUGGAGGCAUAAACAUUAAGGCUAGGAUGUAUUUUUGGGGAGAAAGCGGCGGCUAGCAGGGACGAAGCUCAACUUCAUGCGCCGCGCCCCGGAAUGCUUUGCCUUUAGCCACUAGCGGAGCCGCCCGCCUGAGGGAGCCCUCCGGGAGUGAGCGCACGCAACCGUGCAGUCAGAUUCCUCCGCCGACCGCGGCCCUCUCUCCUCGGGCUUUGCCUUCGCUCUCUAGCUUUUCUUCUUUCACUCCCGCUCGCCGACUCCAGCCCGCUGGGCUCACGCUCUGCCGGACACCAAUCCCGGCGGCCCUGCCCGACGGAGCUCAAGGCUAGGCCUGGCCUUGUCCGCGGAGUCCGCCCCUCGCCGCCACCGGGAUCCGCCCCCGCGCCGACACGCACUUCCGGCAGCGCCGCGGCCGGGAGGGACCGAGCGGGGAGCAAGGCCUGCGGGGAGGCGCAGGAUGGACGCGUUGGCUGUCAUGAUGUAGGACCUCCUGACCUAGAACCAUGCCCGGCGCAGGGAGAACAACGAGCUUACGGACCGGGUGCGGGGGCUGCUGUGCGAGAAAGCCUACCUGCUGGCCCGGGAGCGUUCGCCGGCCCACCUGGUGGCUUUCCCUGGACGUUUAACGGCGACUCCGCCCGGCCUCCCGACUUUUUGAUGCAGGCGUUCUCUUACAUGACUUUCUUCGAGGCUAGAUUCUCGAAAGACAUCCUGAAGGUGGCUUUCUUAAUUAGCUGCCUCACCGGCUGGCGGAGCAGUUCGUAGUCGCCUACAUCGAGAGGGAGAGCCCCGUCCUGGCUCAGUACUGGGGCUUCGUGGACGCGCUGUAGCGGGUCUUCGCCGUCGUGGGUAGGAAACAGUCGGGCCGGAUCCCCGGUGUCUGGGGAGCGGCUGCCGGCCGGGCCCGCGCGAGCCGCUUCACUCCUACAAGCCCGGCUCACUAGUUCCAAGCUGCUGGACUUUGACCCUCGCUGGGAAGCUUGAUCGCCGCCUGUUCUCGCCAAUCUCUAUGCCUUUGCACUGCCCAGCAACCCGGUCACUGCCCAGGACCUGUUAAAAGUUGAAUGGACCUCCCAGAAUCACGCCGCUGCCACCGCCGUUUCUAGAGACGGCUUUUGGCCACCUUUGAGAAUCAGGGUCAAACUUGGAAGGGCCUGCAUUUGUCACACUUCCUCGGACACUAAUUUGGAUAGUUCAGGCCCAGAGACGGCUUCCCGGGUUAGUGUGCCUGACAACACUGAAGAAAAAUUGUGACAUUUUCCUUCCCCAGAAUUACUUCGUUUUAUACAUUUCACUUCUCUUCUGAAAUCACAGCAAUGCCAGUUUGCGCCUUUUGGUCUGAGGAACGCAGGCCCUGGCCACUACCAGGAAAAAAACCUUCUGGAUUUCAGCUUUGGCAAGCUUCCUCUGUUUCUGAGACACCUCCAUCACCUGGGUUACAAUCCCAUCCAUGAUUUUCCCCAUCUCCAGGCAUUUUUCAUGGAAAGCUCCUCAUGCUUUUUAAUUCCAGUUUAUCCAUUUGUGUGGCUUUAACCUCCACAUCCAGGUCUUUCUGGCUAAACUGCAGUAUAUCCACAAUGGGGCCAAUGGACACAUAAGGGAGGCCCUAUCACAGGAACACGAACACCCGGAGUCGCUAGAAAUCAGAUUCCACCGGCUUUGCUUCAGGCCGACUUCCUAAGGAAGGCAUGGUAGCAUCACAGAUGCUGUUUGUCUCAGUUUCCUGAGAAGCCAGUUUCUUAGAGCUGUCAUUCAAGAGUGGGUCAAAUUUGAGAUAUAAAAACCUUUCUCAAGGUAGACUCUUUGGCCCCUAUGCCUAGUAUGUCAGCUGGGCCUCUGAAGCUCUCCUCUUUGAGGUCCUGGCAGGCUCUGGCCCCUGUUGAGAAGGGGAAGCAGUCAUGUGAACUCAUGUGCUGGAAGAAUCCACUCUACCCCUUCCCUGGCUUCUCUGCUGCAAUUUUUGUCUUUAAACGUAUUUUCAGGUGAUUCCAGUUUGCAUACAUAAUUGAGAAAUAUAAGAUUUGGUCCCCAGUAGAGAGCCAGGUGAACUUAAGAAGGAGUCCAUCUAAGAAAAUUGCACAAUUAUCUAGUUUCACUUGGGUUUAGCUUUUAUGGCUUACUUGAUUUAGUAAUCAAAUGAUUUUCAAAUGAUUUUGAUCAGGUGA